ensembl:lncRNA
AACUGCUAUGACAUCACUUCCUACCUUCGCCUAAUCAGACCCAGAACACUGGUAUGACUACCGAUAACCUUUUCACCACAAUCUACCAAGAUCACCUCACUCUUCUACCAAUAACUUUUUCACCACAAUCCACCAAGAUCACCUCACUCUACUGCUGUUCUGCAGCAAUCUGUUUGGACCUUAGAACCAGUAGUAGUUUGGCCUUGGAGGCUUCCUGCAUGUCCGGGAGCCCCUGGGGAGGUCUGUGCGGCUCUGUGUAUGAGGAGGUCUGUGUGGGUCUGUGUAUGAGGAGGUCUGUGUAUGAGGAGGUCUGGGAGGGCCACUGAGGGUCUGUGUAUGAGGAGGUCUGGGAGGGCCACUGAGGUCUGUGUAUGAGGAGGUCUGGGAGGGCCACUGAGGGUCUGUGUAUACAGUACAAGCGGAAAACAGGAGCGCUGCUGGCAGC